rnacentral:rRNA from 1 species
GUGGGGAAUAUUCGACAAUGGGCGAAAGCCUGAUCCAGCCAUGCCGCGUGUGUGAAGAAGGUCUUCGGAUUGUAAAGCACUUUAAGUUGGGAGGAAGGGCAGUAAGUUAAUACCUUGCUGUUUUGACGUUACCGACAGAAUAAGCACCGGCUAACUUCGUGCCAGCAGCCGCGGUAAUACGAAGGGUGCAAGCGUUAAUCGGAAUUACUGGGCGUAAAGCGCGCGUAGGUGGUUUUGUAAGUUGGAGGUGAAAUCCCCGGGCUCAACCUGGGAACUGCCUCCAAAACUGCAUGACUAGAGUACGGUAGAGGGUAGUGGAAUUUCCUGUGUAGCGGUGAAAUGCGUAGAUAUAGGAAGGAACACCAGUGGCGAAGGCGACUACCUGGACUGAUACUGACACUGAGGUGCGAAAGCGUGGGGAGCAAACAGGAUUAGAAACCCCAGUAGUCC